rnacentral:rRNA from 1 species
ACAGCUUACACAUGGCAAGUCGAGCGGGAGAGAGGUAGCUUGCUACUGAUCUUAGCGGCGGCCCGGUGAGUAAUGCUUAGGAAUCUGCCUAUUAGUGGGGGACAACAUUUCGAAAGGAAUGCUAAUACCGCAUACGUCCUACGGGAGAAAGCAGGGGAUCUUCGGACCUUGCGCUAAUAGAUGAGCCUAAGUCGGAUUAGCUAGUUGGUGGGGUAAAGGCCUACCAAGGCGACGAUCUGUAGCGGGUCUGAGAGGAUGAUCCGCCACACUGGGACUGAGACACGGCCCAGACUCCUACGGGAGGCAGCAGUGGGGAAUAUUGGACAAUGGGCGGAAGCCUGAUCCAGCCAUGCCGCGUGUGUGAAGAAGGCCUUAUGGUUGUAAAGCACUUUAAGCGAGGAGGAGGCUACUUUAGUUAAUACCUAGAGAUAGUGGACGUUACUCGCAUAAUAAACACCGGCUAACUCUGUGCCAGCAGCC